rnacentral:rRNA from 1 species
GAAGUGUGGACGCCAGUCUGCAUGGAGCCGACCUUGAAAUACCACCCUUUAAUGUUUGAUGUUCUAACGUUGACCCGUGAUCCGGGUUGCGGACAGUGUCUGGUGGGUAGUUUGACUGGGGCGGUCUCCUCCUAAAGAGUAACGGAGGAGCACGAAGGUUGGCUAAUCCUGGUCGGACAUCAGGAGGUUAGUGCAAUGGCAUAAGCCAGCUUGACUGCGAGCGUGACGGCGCGAGCAGGUGCGAAAGCAGGUCAUAGUGAUCCGGUGGUUCUGAAUGGAAGGGCCAUCGCUCAACGGAUAAAAGGUACUCCGGGGAUAACAGGCUGAUACCGCCCAAGAGUUCAUAUCGACGGCGGUGUUUGGCACCUCGAUGUCGGCUCAUCACAUCCUGGGGCUGAAGUAGGUCCCAAGGGUAUGGCUGUUCGCCAUUUAAAGUGGUACGCGAGCUGGGUUUAGAACGUCGUGAGACAGUUCGGUCCCUAUCUGCCGUGGGCGCUGGAGAACUGAGGGGGGCUGCUCCUAGUACGAGAGGACCGGAGUGGACGCAUCACUGGUGUUCGGGUUGUCAUGCCAAUGGCACUGCCCGGUAGCUAAAUGCGGAAGAGAUAAGUGCUGAAAGCAUCUAAGCACGAAACUUGCCCCGAGAUG